UGUCUUUUUCCGCUUACUGGCGUUUAAUUCAAACAACGACAGGAAAGGGAAAAAGGCGUA
rnacentral:pre_miRNA from 1 species